GGAAAAGAUUAUUUCGACAUAAAGAUUGUCUUUGUUGCGGACACCACCGAGGAAGUUUUGCGUCUGGAAUCUUUACUGAUAUCCAAGACAUACAGAAGCCCUUUCUCUAUGAACAAAUUCAUGUGUGAUAGGGACGGUAAUCCUGUGUAUUUGUCUAUGACUGAACACGAAGAAGCGACAAAGUCUAAGAUCAGUUCUGCGUUGAACUCAUUCUAUUGUGGUAUGUCAGAGGAACAAAAGGCCGAGUGGCUUUCGAAAAGGAAACGCAUAUCCGAUGUGUCCGGUUAUAGAAAAUCAAAACUCGGGGAACUCAAUCCCAAUUAUGGGAAGGACUUAACCAAUUCUUUCACACCGGAACAACGAUCCAAACAGAAAGAAAACGCCCAGAAAGGUAUGUUGGUGAAGUUGCCUUGGGAGAAAGCGAAAUGGAACCCCGAAAAUGAUGCGUAUUGGUCAAAAGCUGAUUUGCUUAUGCAAUCUUUGAAGACGAUGAAAAGAGCGGAAGCCCUCAUGCAUGUGUACGGAACAAAGGAUUUGAAGGCUUUUAAUGCGACAAACAGCAUUAUCGAACGUUUCAAUAAAGGGUGGGAACCUUUGAAAUGUCCUAAAUGGAUAGAACGAUACGGUUCUUCUGAAUAAAGAUCUGCAUUACUUGGUUCUUCAAUAACUCUUUCAACGUAUUAUUGACCUCACUUUAACGAUGCGCUCCAUCGGGGCGCUAAUUUGAACUGAAACAGGAAGACUACAUCAUGUCAGAAUUUAAGCCUUUCGCAGUAGCCGUUAACAAUAACCUCAAAACAAUGUCUAAUACUGGCCUGUUCAUGACCAGCGCUGAUAAAGAUGCUCUCUGGGAUCUGUAUCUGGCGUCAUUCCCGGCUGGCACCAACCCGCUGUACCGUGAACGUACUGAGCAUGACUGCACCUGCUGCAAACAAUUCAUCCGUAACAUCGGCGGCGUGGUCACCAUCACUCCUGAUUACCAAUUGGUCACCAUUUGGGACGGUAUUCAACUGGGCAACGAAUACGAUGUUGUCGCUGCGGCGCUGUCUGCGUAUGUUAAACAACACGCAAUCGUCGACGUGUAUUUCAACGACACCAAGAAAGUCGGCGUUGAGUCUAAUCACGAAAUGAAAGACGGCAAUGUGCGCACAUACAAUCACUUCCACACCGACCUGCGCGG
rnacentral:rRNA from 1 species